UUAAAAUGAUUUAUCGAUAAAUAAUAUAUUUUAUCAAUUAUGAGAGAAGUUUAAUUCUUAAUUGAUAAUUUGAAAACUUUUCAUUACCUUUCAUGAAUUUUCUAUCUAAGUUGCCAUGACUUAAAUUUUGGGGAGUCUUUUUUUCAAGCCAAAGACUUUUGGAUCUUGAGAAGGCUGGGGUUAUAUAGAAAACGUGUAACAACCCGAUAGUCGGGGGUACCGAAAAGUGUAUUCUCGGGACUCCGUUCCCGUAAAUUGAACUCGUGAAUAUUAAUAAAUAUUUGCGAAGCUAGUUGUGUAGUUAAUUAAGUUUUGGUUAAGUGAAUUUAUUCGAAUUAAGAGUAAUUAGGUAUAAAGACUAAAUUGCAUAUAGGGUAAAAGUUGAAGUAUAGAUUAAAGAAUAAUUAAAGGAACUAAAGAAGAAAUUAUACCUUUGCUUCUUUAGUAGGACGGCAUUAAUUAAAGUUACCUUAAGUAUUAAGAAAAUAUAUAUUAUAUAAUAAUAAAUCAAUUAAGUAAAAGAAAAUGAAAGACAAAGCCAAGAAAAUUAAAAAGAAAGAAAAAGAAAGAAAGAAGAGACGCAAGGCUAGGGCUCCAAAAGUUUUAAAGUUUAAUUGGUUAGUAAAUUUAGUCUAUUUUCUUGUAAUCUUCAUAUUUUUGGAAUUCUGGUGCUAAGUAUUACGCAACCCAUGUUGAAUUUUUAGCAUUGAUUGAGUUUUUAAAGGUUGCUAAUGUUGAAUAAUUUUAGUAUUAGGGAUUAAAUUAUAGAUUUUAAGCUAGAACUGAAAAGGGAUUAAAUUCUAGAAUAGAUUGAAAAUUCUGAGUAAUAGGGACUAAAUAGUGAAAUUUUCAAAAUUUAGGGAUUUAAGUGAAAAUAGGGAGUUAAAUUUAGUUUAAAGUGGAAUUUGUAUGAAAAUAUAUAAUUAAAUGUGAAGAAUAAAAAUUAGUCUCGAUUUAGGGGAUAAAUUAAAAUUUAGGCAAAUAUUGACUAAAAAUUAAAAUAUUCAAUAUGAAAUUGAAUUAUGUUGUAUUGAUGAAUUUUUAUUAUUUUAAUUCUGUAGCUAACGUCGUACCGGAAUCCUCGACUAAAAAGGGAAAAGAUAAAGUCGACGUCGAAUAGCUCGAAAUUCUUGGUUUGUAUUUCUAUAAUCCGAACUAAGUUGUAAAAUUAUUACAUUUUGAUUUCUUGUAUAUGGUAAGUAUUGAAGGUGAAAAUUAUUGUGUUUUACCAUUGAAAUGGAUUGAUUAGGUAUGUGAUAAAUUUAUUAAAUUUAUAUUAAUUGAAUUAAAUUCAUAUGUAUAUAUGUGAUAAUGUGAUUAUAUAAAAAUUUGAUAUUGGAUAUUGGUUAUAUUUGAAAAGUGAAUUGGAACUCUAUUAACUGUAUCGAGCUAAUAAGUCGGGUAUAUAUGGCAUGCCAUAGGAUAGGAAGAGUUCAAGAAUUUCUUCGACUUCAAGUCGAUGAGGCAGUGGGUGCCAAUUUACUUCGGUUUAACUGAUGAGACACUGGGUGUCAAUGUAUAUAGCGCUGGGCGCAUAUUACUUCGGAUUUAUCCGAUGAGACAGUGGGUGCCAAACUGGUGUGUUGGUUGGUUUUGUGUAUCCGUCCGAAUCCGAGUCGCGUUAAUAGGGGUAGUUAAAUAAAACGGUACUAUGAUUGAUAUUGGAUGAUAUUGUAUGUGAAUUGAAAAUGAGAUAGUGACUUGAAACAUGAAAAUGAGAUACUUGAAUUAUGUAUUCAUGAAUUGGAUACAUCAAUACAACAUAAUUCAAUUUCAUAUAUGACAAUAAUUCAGUAGAAUAAAUUAGAAGCUUACUUGUUCAUCUCUUUUUUGCAUAGCUAAAAUUCCAAGCAUAAUGGCCUUUCCAAAGAUUUUCCAUUAAUUCCCUCUUGACUCUCUAUUUCCUCAUCUGAUUUUCUUACACCAAUCACUUCCAUCUUCAUUCCCUUCAUAGUAGCAUAUUUAAAAAGUCAAAGCUUAAUCUCUAGGUUUUGGCUGACUUAUACUACCUUGCUUUAAACUCUGCAAGCAAAAAGCACAUUUAUAAUGAGAGAUAAUAAAAAAAUAGGCGUAGGGCACAACCUUGCUUUAUGUUAAUAUCUACAUUAAGUUGAAAGAAAAAUAGAAUAUGCAGAGAAUGAUUUUUGUAUUAUUAUCUGGAAUUUAACCAGUAUAGCAAUAGUAUUUAUAAAAUGUGUAUGAGUAACUGCUACUAACAAUUUCACUUAACAGCAUAACUGCUUGUAUAACAGACUAACAUCUAAUAGACUAAUAGAGUUUUUUAUCUAUACUCUAUCAUUCACUCAUCUUCUCGACAGGAAAAACCCGAAAAAGACUGCGAAAUCGAGCAAAUGACGAAACAGACAGUGAUUUGGUAAGAAUGUCAGUAACCUGAUCACAAAUAGUCACCUCACCGACAACAACAGAACCAUCAGCUACCUUUUCGUGGACAAAGAAUAGCUCAAGCUCAACAUGUUUGAACUUAGAAUGUAAGACGAUAUUAGCAGCAACUGCUACGACACUAGAGUUGUCACACCAAAUUGUAGGUUGAUCAUCAGAGCAAAGUUGUAAUUCCUUUAGCAAAGAGACUAACCAAGUAACAUCACUGGUAGCCGCAGCUAGACUCCAAUAUUCUGCCUCAGCCGUAGAACGAGAAACAACUUGUUGUUUCUGUAAGGACCCAAAAUUCGUGGGCACCAAAAAAGUGUGUUAUCGGGCAUCCGUCUUAGUAAACCGAGUUAGUAAAUAAUUAUUAGGAGUAAUUAAAAUUAUGAGUCUAAUAGUGUGUUUAAUUAGAUUUUUUUUAGUGGAUUUAGUUUAACUUAAAGUAAUUAGGAAAAAGGAUCAAAUUGAUUAAAGAGUGAAAGUCUAAUUAUAGAUUAAAAGAAAGUAAUAAGGGCUAAAAUGGCAAUUAAGCCAUUUAGCAUAGUCGAGGCGACAUAAAGGGAAAAAAAUCUAAGAUUUUAUUUGUUUUAAUUAUAUAAUUAAUGAUAAUUAAAUUAUAAUGAUAUUAUAUUAUUAAAUAAAUCAAAAUAUGACAAUUGUAUGGAUAUGAUAAAAGACAUGUGUAAUAUAUGUAUUUGUACAUUUGUAAUAUAAUUGUAUAUUUUCUUAAAUUUUAAGUAAAAGAUAUUUAUUAAUUAAAUUAUUAUAUUAAAAGAUUUUAUUUAUUUGAUAAAUUAGUUAGAUUAAGACAAAUGUAAGGUUAUGAUAUAGUACAAAUGUAUUAAUUAUAUUUAUUAUUAAAAUAGAUAUUUUAUAAUUAUUAAUUAACUUAAAUAUAAAAUAAAGUGAAUGAAUAAAAAAAAGAAAAGAAAACAUAAAAUAAAAGAAACAAAGCUAAAAGUAACAGAGGUCAUUUCGAAACAGAGCAGGAAAGAAAGAAGAAAGGAAAAAUUAGGGUUUAAAGCUUGAAAUUUAAUUGGUAAGUUUAGUCAAGUCUUUUUCUUAUAAAUUUGAUAGAAAUUUUGAUUGGAAUUGAAUAAAGGAUUGAAUUGUAAACUAAGCUAUAAGUUUUGAGUUUUAGGGAUUAAAUUGAAAUAAAUUUGAAAUUAUAAAAAUAUGAUAAAAAUUAGAUAGUUAAAUGUGAGUUUGGCAAGAAAUUGAGUAGCAAAAGGGUUUGAGAAAGAAAGAUAUAUAGGUUUAGUUCGGAUUCAAAUUGGAAUUAAAGUAAAAGUCAGAUAAAAAUUUCAGCAAUUAAAUUGUGUUGUGCUAAUGAUUGUGAAAUUAUUUUAAUUGUUUGUAGCUAAUAUCGAGCCUAAAGCAUCAGCCCAAAAAGGAAAAGAAAAGAUCGUCGAGGAUUAAAUCCUAAGAGAAUUCUGGUUUGUAUCACUACAAUUCAAACUUUAUCAUUAUUAUGUGUUUAAUUUACUAAUUAUGUGUGGUAAGUAUUUCAAGGUAAGUGUUUAGUAAAAUGAAAAUUUAUGAUUGGGUAUUGAAAUUGAGACUGAUACUCAACUGAAUUAUGGAAUAUUGAAUAUUGUUUUUGAGUACUGAAUUGAAUUGUGAAGUUACUGAAUAUUGUUAUGUGUACUGCAUUGAACUGUGAAAUUACUGAAGUAAUAAAUUACUGCAAUACUGUGAAACUGAUUGAAAUAAAGAAUUAUAAUUGAUACUGAACUAAGAUGGAAAUUGUACUGAAAAGUGAAUUAAAUACUCUAUUAACUAGUCUGGCUAGUCGGAUAUAGUUGGCAUGCCAUAGGAUAUGGAAGAGUAUGGGUUUUUGCCGGCUUACUGAUCAGGCAUUUAUAUGCCGACUACUGUUACUGUUACCGAUUCGACACUUUGUGUGUCAAAUACUGUUAUCGUUACUGUUACAGAUUUAGCACUUUGUAUGUUGAAUACUGUUACUAUUACUGCUACCGUUACUGAUUAUUGUUUAGGUGCUAUGUAGCGUUAAGGUACAAUGUGUAGUACUGGUGUGUUGGUUGGAAUCCGUGUAUCCGUCGAGUCCGAGUCAAGUUAAUAGGGGCAAAUGAAAUAAAUUUACUGAUAAAACUAAAGUUGAAUGAUAUGACAUAUGUGAAAGGUGAAAAUUGAAAUAAAGAAAUAAGAAUGGUAUAUAUGUAUAUAAUCAAAUGAUAAUAUAAAAGAUUGAAUCGUUCAUUAAGUGAUGAUAAUUGUAAUGUAAAAGUAUGUGUGUGUGAUUUAAUGUAUUUAAACAUAAAUUGAAUUAUAAUGAUACCACGAUUAUAUGCAUACUCAGCGUACGGCUAUUUCCAUGCGCAGGUUGUAGAAGUCAAGUACUGAAUCAGCAUCCAAAACCAGACUCGACUUCAGCAAACUUUUGGUGAUGUAUAUUUUCUUUUGGUAAUAUGGUAUGUACAUAGGAUGUAUAUAAAGGUUAUCAUGUUUUGAAUAUAAAUGGUUAAAAAUGUUAGUAGUACAAGUCUAAGAAUCAUAAUGAAAGAAGUUUAUUCGUUUCAAUUUAAUUAGUACAUUGAUAAAUUUAAAUUGAUAUUAUAUUGAAUUGGUUGAUUUGGUUAUGUUUGGAAAUGGAUACGG
rnacentral:lncRNA from 1 species